AAGCGGUGGAUGAUGUGGUUUAAUUCGAUGCAACGCGAAAACCUUACCCACCUUGACAUGGCAGGAAUCCUAAAGAGAUUUGGAGUGCUCGAAAGAGAACCUGCACACAGGUGCUGCAUGGCUGUCGUCAGCUCGUGUCGUGAGGUGUUGGGUUAAGUCCCGUAACGAGCGCAACCCUUGUCCAUAGUUGCCAGCACGUAAAGGUGGGAACUCUAUGGAGACUGCCGGUGACAAACCGGAGGAAGGUGGGAUGACGUCAAGUCAUCAUGGCCCUUAUGGGCAGGGCUACACACGUACUACAAUGGCAUAUACAAAGAGAAGCGAACUCGCGAGAGCAAGCGGACCUCAUAAAGUAUGUCGUAGUCCGGAUUGGAGUCUGCAACUCGACUCCAUGAAGUCGGAAUCGCUAGUAAUCGUAGAUCAGAAUGCUACGGUGAAUACGUUCCCGGGCCUU
rnacentral:rRNA from 1 species